GACGAACGCUGGAGGCGUGCUUAACACAUGCAAGUCGAACGAUGAAAUGGAGCUUGCUCCAUGGAUUAGUGGCGAACGGGUGAGUAACACGUGAAUAACCUGCCCUUAAUUUUGGAAUAACCCAGGGAAACCUGGGCUAAUACCGGAUAAGUAAACCUGUGGCAUCACAUGGUUUUGGAAAGUUUUUCGAUUAAGGAUGGAUUCGCGGCCUAUCAGCUUGUUGGUGAGGUAAUGGCUCACCAAGGCGACGACGGGUAGCCGGCCUGAGAGGGUGAACCGCAAAACUGGGACAGAGACACGGCACAGACUCGUGCGGGAGGCAGCAGUGGGGAAUAUUGCGCAAUGGACGAAAGUCUUACGCAGCGACGCCUCGUGAGGGACGAAGGUCUUCGGAUUGUAAACCUCUUUCAGCAGGGACGAAGCGAAAGUGACGGUACCUGCAGAAGAAGCACCGGCUAACUAUGUGCCAGCCGCCGCCGUAA
rnacentral:rRNA from 1 species